rnacentral:rRNA from 1 species
CUCCGUUGGUGACCGCGGAGAGAUCUUAUUACCGAGUUUACAACUCCCAAACCCAUGUGAACAUACCUACUGUUGCUUCGGCGGGAUUGCCCCGGGCGCCUCGUGUGCCCCGGAUCAGGCGCCCGCCUAGGAAACUUAAUUCUUGUUUUAUUUUGGAAUCUUCUGAGUAGUUUUUACAAAUAAAUAAAAACUUUCAACAACGGAUCUCUUGGUUCUGGCAUCGAUGAAGAACGCAGCGAAAUGCGAUAAGUAAUGUGAAUUGCAGAAUUCAGUGAAUCAUCGAAUCUUUGAACGCACAUUGCGCCCGCCAGUAUUCUGGCGGGCAUGCCUGUCUGAGCGUCAUUUCAACCCUCAUGCCCCUAGGGCGUGGUGUUGGGGAUCGGCCAAAGCCCGCGAGGGACGGCCGGCCCCUAAAUCUAGUGGCGGACCCGUCGUGGCCUCCUCUGCGAAGUAGUGAUAUUCCGCAUCGGAGAGCGACGAGCCCCUGCCGUUAAACCCCCAACUUUCCGGUGACUCAGUCAGGUAGGAAUACCCGGGGAACUUAAGCAUAUCAAUAAGCGG